rnacentral:rRNA from 1 species
UACAGAGGUCCCGAGCGUUGUUCGGAUUCACUGGGCGUAAAGGGUGCGUAGGUGGCUGGGAAAGUUUGAUGUGAAAGCUCAGGGCUUAACCCUGAAAUGGCAUUGAAUACUGCCUGGCUGGAGGUUUGGAGGGGGGACUGGAAUUCUUGGUGUAGCAGUGAAAUGCGUAGAUAUCGAGAGGAACACCAGUGGCGAAGGCGAGUCCCUGGACAAGACCUGACACUGAGGCACGAAAGCCAGGGGAGCAAACAGG